rnacentral:lncRNA from 1 species
AUUCAUUUAAUCCCUUUAUCAAAAUUUAAGUUUUAUAAAAUGUUUUGUGGAUUUUAUUUUUCUAAUCAUACAAUUCUAGGCAGUGGCGUAGCCAGGGUUCAAAUGAUGUGGAUGUUUCGCCGAGCGGAGCUAUGCGAAAAAAUUUUGCUUUUUAUGCAGAAAAUUAUUUUUUAUUUAAGCACAUGUACUCCCCAAGAAUCCGACACUGGUUAGAUUUUUGUUUAAAUUCAAAAUACCCCACCAAUACAUAAAAUUA